GGCGCCUUGGCCGAGUGGUUAGGCACAGGUCUGCAAAACCUGGUACGCCGGUUCAACUCCGGCAGGCGCCU
rnacentral:tRNA from 1 species